UGGGGUAUUUUGGACAAUGGGGUAAACCCUGAUCCAGCCAUCCCGCGUGUGCGAUGAAGGCCUUCGGGUUGUAAAGCACUUUUGGCAGGAAAGAAACGUCAUGGGUUAAUACCCCGUGAAACUGACGGUACCUGCAGAAUAAGCACCGGCUAACUACGUGCCAGCAGCCGCGGUAAUACGUAGGGUGCAAGCGUUAAUCGGAAUUACUGGGCGUAAAGCGUGCGCAGGCGGUUCGGAAAGAAAGAUGUGAAAUCCCAGAGCUCAACUUUGGAACUGCAUUUUUAACUACCGGGCUAGAGUGUGUCAGAGGGAGGUGGAAUUCCGCGUGUAGCAGUGAAAUGCGUAGAUAUGCGGAGGAACACCGAUGGCGAAGGCAGCCUCCUGGGAUAACACUGACGCUAAUGCACGAAAGCGUGGGGAGCAAACAGG
rnacentral:rRNA from 1 species